UGUCUAAAACACCAAAUUUUAUAAAUUUUAAAUAAACAUAAUUUAAAUAGCUACAUGUGGCUGGUGUCUACCAUAUUUAGAGAGUACAGGUCUAUUCCAAGGAACAGAAUUAUUAGAUAAUCAGGUAUGCAUAUUUAAGCAUUACUAGCUAAUGUAGAAUUGCUCUCCAGAAUAGACUCCAAUGUUUGUUUUCAACUGCCUGUAAUAUGCAAUGAUCUAUUUCCCCAUCUCCUUGGCUAUAUACUUAGUUUUAUUAGUUUAUACAUUUUUUAGAUAAUUUGAUGAGUAUAAAAUUGUAUCUCAUUAACGGUUGAUUUGUAAUUCCCUUUGUGGUGCUGUAAUACUCAUACAUCUAUCAAGGACUCUUUUUUCCUCCCUUUAAAAUUAUCUACUUAUUUUUUCUUUGUAAGCGUCAUCUUUUUUUCAUUGUGGGAGUUCUUCAUAAACUUGUCAUUUUACUUGAUAAAAGGUCAUACUUAAAAGUCUGAGGCUUCUCAUUCACUUGAAUCUGUAGUCUUUUGUUACAUAGUUGUUUAAAUUUUUGAUACAUAUCUAUAUUUUCCCUCAUUGUUUCAAGUGUUAGUGCCUUUCCUAAGGAACCUUUUCUUAUUAUGAUGUCACAAAUGUAUUCUGCUAUGUCUACUGGGAGAAUACACUAGUGGGGAUAGUUCUGUGUAUACAGUGAUUAAGCACAUAGGUUCUGGAGCCAGUCUGUUUCUUUCAAAAUCACCUCAUUGCUUUUGAAGAAUCAGGGAAACCCCCAUGAGACUACAGGUGUGAAGCAAGAUAGAAGCAUCAGUGCAAAAGAGUCUCUUCCAGGGUAAAGGAUGGACUUUGGUGUGUUCUCUUUUGUACAUGCCUCAGUGAGAUGCACAAAGCACAACUUGGUCAGAUUCACAGAGGCUCUUGUCUCCUCUAACUCUUCCUGACUCAGGUGAAAAAUCACCUCACGCAAUCUGGUUUACCCAAGUAAAGGCCUGGGUAACAGAACCUAGAAGCCUGGGAAAGAUAAUACACUGUAGUGAACCAGAGAUAGACAAAAGAAUGAACAAUUAAUCCCUUUCAUUUUCGCUGCCUGUGAAACUGUUCAAGAUGGGGUGGGCUUAUACAUCCUGUCCGAAAAAUGAGCCUUAUGACCUUGAAACUGGCUGUGUUAUAUUUUUGAAGCUGUGGCCAGUUGGAUAAUGUAUCAAUUUGUAUUUUCUCUUCUGCUCUGCCUUGCCUCACUUUUUCCUUUCCUUUCAUUUCAUUUCCUUUUUCCCAGUACUGCAUUUCCAAAUAAAGCCACUCACAAUCUUUAAUCAGGCUGUAAAUUUUAAGAAAUCUGGACCAAGACAGUUUGCUCCAAGAGUAUCCCACAAAUGCAGAUCUUCAGAGUGAGAUUUUAUUAUUGGAUUGCUCACCUGUCUGUUGGUAAGUGAGAUGACAAUAACAAAGUGAAGAUGAUAAUAACUUGACAUGCAGUGGUACCACAAUUGUUAAACACUGGCCUAUGGUUAAUUGUGAACAAGGCUUGGGGAAAUCAAAUGGGUACAUCAUUUGAUCACUGUGGAGACAAUGAUACUUAUGAAGAUUGUAAUUUCAGAUG
rnacentral:lncRNA from 1 species